rnacentral:rRNA from 1 species
GCAUGAAGUUGGAAUCGCUAGUAAUCGCGGAUCAGCAUGCCGCGGUGAAUACGUUCCCGGGCCUUGUACACACCGCCCGUCACACCAUGAGAGUCGGGAACACCCGAAGUCCGUAGCCUAACCGCAAGGGGGCGCGGCCGAAGGUGGGUUCGAUAAUUGGGGUGAAGUCGUAACAAGGUACC